UGCAGGUACAUUGGACACGCAGUUCUGCAUUAUGUGUGAAUGUGGCCAAGGACAACAUUUAAAAUAAAAAUGAAACAGGAACUUUUUCCUAAGUUUAUCCCAGCCAAUCAGGGAAUCUCACAGAGACCAUGAUGGUAUCAUAUUGGCACACAUCCAGUCAGAUUUGGCUUACAGAACAUCACUAAACCAAAUCAGAGAAAGGGCAGUAUGCAUUGCUACCAUGUAACCAAGUCAGAAUUGGCUAUGCGAUAUCACAAAGCCAAAUAAGAGUAAGAGCAAUGCUUUGCCCAUAUUCUGAUGAACAUUUUAGCUGGUUUUGCUCCUCCUCCUUGAAAAUGGGCAAAAUGGGCAUUUUUAUUAUUUUAAUCUAUUUUAAUUCAGCCUAUUUUGGUCCUUCAAUAUGGUGGAAGCGGGGGACACAAGCUAAGGAAGAAUAGGUUCACAUACAUUAUUUCAGUAUCCUUUACAACAACUAUAUAAGAUAGAUUUGUGACCAACAUACUGAGCAACAUUAUGCAUGCAGUGGAUUGCAACAGUUGCUCAGUUGCACAAGAGUGCUGUUGUGCAAGCACAAAAUUCUGCAAAUAGACCUCUGCAACAGUGCAGCCAUUAUAUAUAACAGCAGUAAUAUUGCACAACUCCAUUUGUGCAAUUUUAGUGCUUGCCAGCUGUGUGGAUGUUAUGUUCCACUUCAUGCAUUGCGUUGCGCAGUAUAUCAGCUGGUUUUAUUACCCCAUAUUGGAGGUGGGAGCUUAUCCUGUAGACUUUCUAGUCCGUAGACACUAGGAUAUGGGGACAUUGGAUCUUGUUCCCCCUCCCCCAUUGAUUUUCACUUCCCCUGCAGAGUGAGACUUGGUUGGCUUGCAUGAGCCAUCUGGAACUAUUGCGCUCUAUACACUUUAUGUAGUGCAGCUGCUCCUUGCUUUUGGCUCAUUGUGGUCUAGUUUUCCUGCUCUGAGCUCCAAAGAGCAAGUGUUUAGGCAGCCCUGACUUUGGGCAAGGGCUUGGAAGGAAUAAAGGGUAAAGGUGAAGUGUGCCGCCAAGUCGAUUUUGACUCCUGGCACCCACAGAGCCCUGUGGCUAUCUUUGGCAGUAUACAGGACAAAUUUACCAUUGCCUCCUCCCACGCAGUGUGAGAUGAUGCCUUUCAGCAACUUCCUACAUCGCUGCUGCCUGAUAUAGUAGCACCAGGGAUUUGAACCGGCAACCUUCUGCUUGUUAGUCAAGCAUUACCACCCCGCUGCGCCACUUAAGGUACAAUCCCCUAUUAACUCAGCAGGGUGGCAUCUUUAAAAUGGUGAUUCUCUAAUAUUUAGCAGAGGGUGAGCAAUUGGCCCUAUCCAACCCGGCCACAGCAUCCCUCCAGUGGUUGUUGCCGGUGUCUGACUACCUUACAUUUCUUUUAGAUUGUGAGCUCUUUGGGGUUAUGGAGCCAUGCUAUUCUUUUUAUUUAUUUAUUUCUGUGUGAACAGAUUUGAAUUUGUUGUUGUUGUUGUUAAAAAGCAAUAUAUCAAUAUUCACAGCUGUAAUUCUUGAUUUCCUCCUGCUUUACAAUUCUGCCCAUGAUGCUCCAGCAUACAAAUUUGCAAACAUUAGCUAUUUUUAAAAAUAAGAAGAAGAAGUCAUCCAGGCAGCUUGGAAAAGAGUAACUUUUCCUGACAUUUAAUAAGACAAGGCCUUAGUAAGUGAGUCACUGCCAGGAGUCUGCCUGAAGUACUGACAACCUGAAAGGAGUCCGCCAUGACCUCGCUGUUUUGGCUAAAACACCCAACUCCCCUGCUCCUCUACAGCCUUAGCAUUAAGGGGGAAUUCUUUCCCUAGCCAGAAACCAUAAGUAAAGAAAACAUGCACUCCCCAUGUUCAGCACUUGGAAUUAGGGACAGACAGAGGGGCUUCUUUUGCUCUUUUAGGAAAGGACAUUUUGGUCUCCUAAUAACAGAAUUUGUACAAGAAUCCCACCCAGCCCAAUCGUCAACUAGAGCAGAAAGAACAGCUAUUCCAUGUUGAACAUCUCAGUGGAUAAUCCUUCUGAUCUUUCUUUUAAUUAUAUCAUGGCCAGUGACUACAUUAUGUGUUUAGGGCUUUCUCCACACAAGAGAGCUAUACAUGCAUACAAUUUUGCAUGCUUGUGUUGAGUCCAGCUGACUACAAUUUUGCAUACAAUUUUCCACAUAUGUGUUGCACCAGCAGCUCCUCUAAACUCUGGACCUGGUCCAGAGUUUAGAGGAGAUGCCAUUGUCCCUGGUGGUAAUCAUGUGAGCGGCUGAUCCUGCUGCCCAGGGUGGGCUCCUUGCUCGUCUGUGGGUAGAGUGGAUCAAGCCCACUCUCCCUGCAGAACCCUUUUAGACUCUCCACACUGCUCGUGUGGAGAGCCUUAGGAAGUGGGAUUUUGCACCUGCAUUCAAUAUAACAUUUGAAUAACUGUACCUGCAUCCAAAUUUGUACCUUUGUACCCUGUACACUCAUUGUCUGAAUGCUGAACAUAACAUGUGAAUAGGGCUUGAGUCACUGUAAGGCAUUUUUGGAACAAAAUGGCUGUCACCAGGAAGAUUUUACCAACAAUGUUCAACAGAGAUGCCAUAACACCAGGAAUGUGGGUCUAAGAAAAUGUUUGCGGCUGUGUGAUGGAACAACUUGUUAACGAUUUAUGCCCACUUUGGCCCACGCUGCCGAGAACUGUGCUUCUGAUGGAAAUGAUCUGAGGACCAGAGUAAGAGUUUAUUGUUAUCAGACAUGAUCUUGCCCCCGAUGGUGAUUUCUGACCAGCAGAGAGAAAGACGGAGGCGGAAAAGAAGAACUCUCUCCUCCCCCCCACCCCCCCACCCUGCUAUGCUCCCCUCGAGCUCCGGUAUCAAUGAAUCUUUAAACAGGAAGAAUAAUUUCACAGAAUAGAGGGUGCUUGUGAAGACAUUUAACUCUAAGAACUUGUGACAGCUCGUGAAAUGAAGAAAUGAAAUGUUUUUUCCCCCUUUCUCCCCUGAAGAUGGAGAGAAAUGCUAAAUCGCCCAGAAAAGGGAAGAGUCGGUCCCUCGGGGCGAAUCUUUCAGAACAGUCCCUUGUGGGGAUGGGGCCAAGCUGAACAAUGUGGAGCGGCUAAUGAGAACAAGGGGAGCCAUCCUACGUUCAGCUCUCAAAGAGCGUAACCAGCAUCGGGAAGCCAGAGGAACUCAUUCCCCAUCUGAGCAUCCUGGGAGAGGGAGAGGGGGAAACUUGUUUAUUAUUUCUCUGACAGGCAAGAACAUUUUUGCUUCAACAUUAGCCGGCAAGCUCCUUUUUCUCAAAUUACAUCUCCAUCAUCAGAAAUUGUAUCGGUGCCUAUCAGUGCAGAGCGAGACUGUGAGGAAAAGUUCUGAUGGGGCAAGGGAACUGAGAUGUGGUCCGAGUUUAUUCAUCUGGUAGAGAUUCUGGCCCUGUUCCAAAGUAACGAACGACUGGACCCUUAACUCAAAGUAUAAAGAGAGAGAGGUUCCCCUUUCACUUCACUGGAGGAAGGCAAUUCUCAUUAUGCCAUCCGAGGGAGGCUCAAAUGCCAAAAAAAGAAUGUCAUGUUCAUAUUAUCGUUGUUGUUAUCUCUCCGAUCCACCUAAUAAUCAUCCAAAGCAGCUUUUAAAAAGGAGACAACAUUGUAUUGAGACCAUCUUAUACCCAUUUCCGAAAGAGCUGGAAAUAUGGACCUUAUGGGCACAUAACCAUGGGCCCCAGAGCAUGGUUUAAGGGCACACGAUACAGCCACCUUGCUGAUGCUAAGCAGGUCCCAGUGUAGUCAGUGCCUGGAUGGGAGACCCAUGUAUGCUACCUUUAGAGAUGGGGCUGUAGCUCAGUGGUAGAGCAUCUGCUUUGCAUGCAGAAGGUCCCAGGUUCAAUCCCUGGCAGCAUCUCCAGGGAGGGCUGGGAAAGACUCCUGCCUGUAACCUUGGAGAGCUGCUGCCAAUCCGUGUAGGCAAUACUGAGCUGGAUGGAGCAAGGGUCUGCCUCAGCACAGCAUCCCUCCAGUGGCUGUUGCUGGUGUCUAUCUUAUGUUUCUUUUUUAGAUUGUGAGCCCUUUGGGGACAGGGAGCCAUUUUAUUUAUUUAUAUCUAUGUAAACUGCUUUGGGAACCUUUGUUGAAAAGCUGUAUAUAAAUAUUAUUUGUAUUCUGACUUGGAAUAAAUCUGACUCCGUAUA